rnacentral:rRNA from 1 species
UUGGAGGGCAAGUCUGGUGCCAGCAGCCGCGGUAAUUCCAGCUCCAAUAGCGUAUAUUAAAGUUGUUGCAGUUAAAAAGCUCGUAGUUGAAUUUCGGGAUCAAUUUAUCGGUCGUGCCUCUGGUAUGCACUGGUAUUAUUGGUUUCUACCUUCUGACGAACCAUGAUGUCAUUUAUUUGGUGUCAUGGGGAAUCAGGACUGUUACUUUGAAAAAAUUAGAGUGUUUAAAGCAAGCACACGCUUGAAUACAUUAGCAUGGAAUAAUGAAAUAGGACGUUUGACCCUAUUUUGUUGGUUUCUAGGAUCGACGUAAUGAUUAAUAGGGAUAGUUGGGGGCAUUAGUAUUCAAUUGUCAGAGGUGAAAUUCUUGGAUUUAUUGAAGACUAACUACUGCGAAAGCAUUUGCCAAGGAUGUUUUCAUUAAUCAAGAACGAAAGUUAGGGGAUCGAAGACGAUCAGAUACCGUCGUAGUCUUAACCAUAAACUAUGCCGACUAGGGAUCGGAUGAUGUUAAUUUUUUAAUGACUCAUUCGGCGCCUUACGGGAAAC